AAUCCCGUGUGAAUCUGCCAGGACCACCUGGUAAGCCUGAAUACUACCUGUUGACCGAUAGCGGAUCAGUACCGUGAGGGAAUGGUGAAAAGUACCCCGGGAGGGGAGUGAAAUAGUACCUGAAACCAUGUGCCUACAAACCGUUGGAGCCUCCUUGUGGGGUGACAGCGUGCCUUUUGAAGAAUGAGCCUGCGAGUUAGUGAUACGUGGCGAGGUUAACCCGUGUGGGGAAGCCGUAGCGAAAGCGAGUCUGAAUAGGGCGAUUGAGUCGCGUGUCCUAGACCCGAAGCGGAGUGAUCUACCCAUGGCCAGGUUGAAGCGCGUGUAAGAGCGCGUGGAGGACCGAACCCACUUCAGUUGAAAAUGGAGGGGAUGAGUUGUGGGUAGGGGUGAAAGGCCAAUCAAACUCCGUGAUAGCUGGUUCUCCCCGAAAUGCAUUUAGGUGCAGCGUCACGUGUUUCUUCCCGGAGGUAGAGCUACUGGAUGGACGAUGGGCCCUACAAGGUUACUGACUUCAGCCAAACUCCGAAUGCCGGGAAGUGAGAGCGUGGCAGUGAGACU
rnacentral:rRNA from 1 species